ACGGAAGGCAGCAGUGGGGAAUAUUGCACAAUGGGGGAAACCCUGAUGCAGCGACGCCGCGUGAGUGAAGAAGUAUUUCGGUAUGUAAAGCUCUAUCAGCAGGAAAGAAAAUGACGGUACCUGACUAAGAAGCCCCGGCUAACUACGUGCCAGCAGCCGCGGUAAUACGUAGGGGGCAAGCGUUAUCCGGAUUUACUGGGUGUAAAGGGAGCGUAGACGGCUUUGCAAGUCUGAAGUGAAAGCCCGGGGCUCAACCCCGGAACUGCUUUGGAAACUGUAGAGCUAGAGUGCAGGAGAGGUAAGUGGAAUUCCUAGUGUAGCGGUGGAAUGCGUAGAUAUUAGGAGGAACACCAGUGGCGAAGGCGGCUUACUGGACUGUAACUGACGUUGAGGCUCGAAGGCGUGGGGAGCAAACAGGAUUAGAUACCCUGGUA
rnacentral:rRNA from 1 species